rnacentral:rRNA from 1 species
AGCGAACGCUGGCGGCAUGCCUAACACAUGCAAGUCGAACGAAGUCUUCGGACUUAGUGGCGGACGGGUGAGUAACACGUGGGAACGUGCCUUUAGGUUCGGAAUAACUCAGGGAAACUUGUGCUAAUACCGAAUGUGCCCUUCGGGGGAAAGAUUUAUCGCCUUUAGAGCGGCCCGCGUCUGAUUAGCUAGUUGGUGAGGUAAAGGCUCACCAAGGCGACGAUCAGUAGCUGGUCUGAGAGGAUGAUCAGACACAUUGGGACUGAGACACGGCCCAAACUCCUACGGGAGGCAGCAGUGGGGAAUCUUGCGCAAUGGGCGAAAGCCGGACGCAGCCAUGCCGCGUGAAUGAUGAAGGUCUUAGGAUUGUAAGAUUCUUUCACCGGGGACGAUAAUGACGGUACCCGGAGAAGAAGCCCCGGCUAACUUCGUGCCAGCAGCCGCCGUAACAC